UCGAGCGGUACAGGGGUAGCUUGCUACCCGCUGACGAGCGGCGGACGGGUGAGUAAUGCUUAGGAAUCUGCCCAGUAGUGGGGGAUAGCCCGGGGAAACCCGGAUUAAUACCGCAUACGUCCUACGGGAGAAAGCAGGGGAUCUUCGGACCUUGCGCUAUUGGAUGAGCCUAAGUCGGAUUAGCUAGUUGGUGGGGUAAAGGCCUACCAAGGCGACCAUCCGUAGCUGGUCUGAGAGGAUGAUCAGCCACAUCGGGACUGAGACACGGCCCGAACUCCUACGGGAGGCAGCAGUGGGGAAUAUUGGACAAUGGGGGCAACCCUGAUCCAGCCAUGCCGCGUGUGUGAAGAAGGCUUUCGGGUUGUAAAGCACUUUCAGUAGGGAGGAAAACCUUAUGGCUAAUACCCAUGAGGCUUGACGUUACCUACAGAAGAAGCACCGGCUAACUCCGUGCCAGCAGCCGCGGUAAUACGGAGGGUGCAAGCGUUAAUCGGAAUUACUGGGCGUAAAGCGCGCGUAGGUGGUUUGGUAAGCGAGAUGUGAAAGCCCCGGGCUUAACCUGGGAACGGCAUUUCGAACUGUCAGACUAGAGUGUGGUAGAGGGUAGUGGAAUUUCCUGUGUAGCGGUGAAAUGCGUAGAUAUAGGAAGGAACACCAGUGGCGAAGGCGGCUACCUGGAUCAACACUGACACUGAGGUGCGAAAGCGUGGGAGCAAACACGAUUAGAUACCCUGGCUAGUCCACGCCUACACGAUGUCAACUAGCCCUUGGGACUCUUGAAGUUCUUACUGGCGCAGCUAACGCACUAAGUUGACCGCCUGGGGAA
rnacentral:rRNA from 2 species